UCGUUGAACCGUGGUGAUUUGGCUGGCCGGCUUGCAGCCACGAAAAACAACUUGCUAAAAGGCCGCGCGCUCCGCUCA
rnacentral:ncRNA from 2 species